GGCCGCCUGGCGUAAUGGCAACGCGUCUGACUACGACUUUCGCCCCUGCUUUCCUCACCGAAUCAAGGGAGCAUACCGUAAUCAGGAGAUUGCAGGUUCGACCCCUGCGGUGGUCA
rnacentral:tRNA from 1 species